GAUGAACGCUGGCGGCGUGCCUAAUACAUGCAAGUCGAGCGAACAGACGAGGAGCUUGCUCCUCUGACGUUAGCGGCGGACGGGUGAGUAACACGUGGAUAACCUACCUAUAAGACUGGGAUAACUUCGGGAAACCGGAGCUAAUACCGGAUAAUAUAUUGAACCGCAUGGUUCAAUAGUGAAAGACGGUUUUGCUGUCACUUAUAGAUGGAUCCGCGCCGCAUUAGCUAGUUGGUAAGGUAACGGCUUACCAAGGCAACGAUGCGUAGCCGACCUGAGAGGGUGAUGGGCCACACUGGAAGUGAGACACGGUCCAGACUCCUACGGGAGGCAGCAGUAGGGAAGCUUCCGCAAUGGGCGAAAGCCUGACGGAGCAACGCCGCGUGAGUGAUGAAGGUCUUCGGAUCGUAAAACUCUGUUAUUAGGGAAGAACAAAUGUGUAAGUAACUAUGCACGUCUUGACGGUACCUAAUCAGAAAGCCACGGCUAACUACGUG
rnacentral:rRNA from 1 species